AUAAAUAUUUUGAUACUGAAAGCUUAUGCUAUAUGGUUUAUCUGAUGUGUGUUAAGUCUUGCAUGAGUGGAUCAAGGAACUCUUAAGAAAAGGUCAAACAAGAGGAUAUGAGAAAUGUAGGUGCUUCAGUAGCCACGUGGGCAUGGGAAAAUUAGAAUUUUGAGAAACUGUUAUUUCAUAAGUGUGUACCAUAGCUGAUCAAUUUAGAACACUUUAUUUGAUGAGAGGUCAAUCACACAUUCAGCUGAACUGGCAUCCCAACUGUCUAUUUCCUAAGUGACAGGACAAGGGGAAGCACAUGAUAACUACUUGUGGUGUUCUGGCAUCAAUGCCUCUGAUGUUUUCGAGUUUACUCUGUAGCAUCGAUCAUGAGCCUUGACAUUGAUUCUCUCAGGUUAUGGUUUGCUCCAAUGUUUGCUCCUUACCAGCCCAACGUGUUCACAUUAAUAUCUAAAUUUCCUAUUUUACUUAUAGGCAUUUGAAACAACCUCACUUUUGAAAUACAAACUUUGUGAUUUAGGAAUCCUAUAUUCCUAUUUUACUCAGUAUAUCUCCAUCAAGAUGCUGUCCUAGAACAACGAAAAGAAGAUGCGAAAAAGAACCUUCAAAACCUUAAGUAAUUCAGAGCCAGGCAUGAGGACUCAGCUUGAUACUAACACUGCAUGAAUGUUUGGUUGGCCCUGUCAUAUCUACAUAUAAUUGAUCAACGUGUUCCCUUUGCUUUGUAGGGCCUCCUGAAUAACAUCCUCUCUUGAAGCCGACCACUGAAAUGGAAGAUCCUGCUGUGAGACAUGCAGUACAAAGAAAGAAUGUACAGACAUCAAGAGCAGGUUGUGGGAGUUCUGAUGAAUCUGCAGUCAGGUAGGACUUUACAGUUUUAAAAAAUUAUGUUAACUAAGAAAACAUAGACGGAAAAAACUAAUAUCUAUUGAGUGUGUAUUCUGGGCUAACCACCCUAUUAAAUGCAUCUCAAAGCCAUCAUGUCUGUUUUCUUAUAACCUACUGUUUAUUAAAUAGGCAACUGUGAUUUAGAGAGGUUGAUUAAAUGGAUCAUGAUCCCAUAGUUCAAAAAGUAGCUGGCCCACAGUUUGGCCAUCAGCCUUUCAAAUCUUUUUUCUUGCUAAUCAGCACAGAUUGAUAGAGAUACUUGUGCAGAACUUUGAUCAAGGUAUAGGUCUGAAUAAGAUGAAUCAGAUAAAUUAUUUUAAUUAAUGUCUAAAUUAAUGAGUUUAAGUAAGUUAAACUCUCAUUUUAGGUCUCACUUAGUAAUGAGGUUAGUCCUUGAGUUUGUCCUAAUAUAUUUGACAAUUUUUGUGGUAACCAGCAUUUUUUUUUUUAAAUUAACCAUCAAAGUCUUUAUGACAGAAUAAAGGUUUGGCUAUUGGACUGGAAGUUUUACAAAACCAAGAUUUGGCAAGUCUUGGAGAGAAAUUAUUUAACAUCCCAGUUUUGUUUUCCCUUUAGGCUAGUAUUUCUGCCUACUUCCAUAAUGCUUUCUUUUUCAAUUUCUUUUUCCAUUACUUUCAUUCUUUGUUGUUUUCAAAUUCUGCUGGCUGUGUAUUCCGAAUUUUCCUAUAGACAGAACCAAAAGUCCACAGAAUUACAGAAGUUUAAGGAGUCUUGGGACUAAUUAAAAUACCUUCAAGGACUUCAAUCUGUGUUCAAGUGAUUUUCUAGAUUGACAACUUGAGACUCAGAGAUGAGGAUGCUUUUUUUGGACACAAGACACGCUAGAAAUGAGAUCUGAACACGUUUUAAAGCCCAAUAGUCUUCCUUCUUUUUCUAGUCUAUUGGCAUGUGUUUUUUGAGACAGAGUUUUACUCCUGUUGCCAGACUGGAGUGCAGUAGCACAAUCUUGGCUCACCACAACCUUC